rnacentral:rRNA from 1 species
AGUGAACGCUGGCGGUAGGCCUAGCACAUGCAAGUCGAACGGCAGCACAGUAAGAGCUUGCUCUUACGGGUGGCGAGUGGCGGACGGGUGAGGAAUACAUCGGAAUCUACUUUUUCUUGGGGGAUAACGUAGGGAAACUUACGCUAAUACCGCAUAUGACCUACGGGUUAAAGCAGUGGUUCUUCGGACCUUUCGCGAUUGAAUGAGCCGAUGUCGGAUUAGCUAGUUGGCGGGGUAAAGGCCCACCAAGGCGACGAUCCGUAGCUGGUCUGAGAGGAUGAUCAGCCACACUGGAACUGAGACACGGUCCAGACUCCUACGGGAGGCAGCAGUGGGGAAUAUUGGACAAUGGGCGCAAGCCUGAUCCAGCCAUACCGCGUGGGUGAAGAAGGCCUUCGGGUUGUAAAGCCCUUUUGUUGGGAAAGAAAAGCAGCAGGUUAAUACCCCGCUGUUCUGACGGUACCCAAAGAAUAAGCACCGGCUAACUUCGUG